rnacentral:rRNA from 1 species
UACGUAGGGUGCAAGCGUUGUCCGGAAUCAUUGGGCGUAAAGCGCGUGUAGGCGGCCCGGUAAGUCCGCUGUGAAAGUCGGGGGCUCAACCCUCGGAUGCCGGUGGAUACUGUCGGGCUAGAGUACGGAAGAGGCGAGUGGAAUUCCUGGUGUAGCGGUGAAAUGCGCAGAUAUCAGGAAGAACACCCGUGGCUAAGGCGGCUCUCUAGUACGGUACUGACGCUGAGACGCGAAAGCGUGGGGAGCGAACAGG